rnacentral:lncRNA from 12 species
GGCCAUGUUUCCUGGGGGACCAUGGUAGGGGUGCACUAGGUCUCGUCCAAGGCAGCUGCAGAGGGUCAGGUUACAGCAAUGUAGGUCACAUGCUCCAGCCUGGGCAGACCAAGGAUCCAGCACAUUAUCUGGCCCCAGCCUUUCCCUGUCACUGCUCCAGCAUGCUGCAGCCUGGGCUCUGGAUGGCCCUGGCCCCUCUGCUUGGUGCCCUCAGUGCAGGAUGUUUCUCUCCAUGGUGUCGGAGUGUCUGUCCUGCCCCUCUGGCCAUUUCUGUGGUGCAUCUGGCCUCACUGCUCCCUCUGGACCCUGUUCCCCUGGCUACUUCUGUCUGGAAGGAGUCUCCUCCCCAACCCCAGCAGGCCACUCGGAACACGGGGGGCCCUGUCCCCAAGGCCACUUCUGCCCCAGUGGGACCAGCCACCCCAAGCCUUGCCCUGCUGGUUCCUACAGCAACCUGACUGGCCAAGCAUCCUGCUUCCCCUGCCCUGCUGGCUACUACUGCCCUGAGAAUAUCACCACCUAUAGCAGGCACCCCUGCCCUGCUGGCUUCUACUGCCCCCGAGGUGCGUACCCAAGCCAGCACUGCCAGAGGCAAGGCCGAGUAUCGGGGGGUGGUAUAGGCGGCAGGGGGUGUGGAGUGGGGCUCGGGGCAAUGAAGGAUCACACAGAUUGUCCUCUGCUUCUCAGAUUUUCCCACCGCUAGACCCAAAGUCACAAGGAAGAACUGCAUCCUUCACAGAGGCUGAGCCUAAAGCAGCUGGGCUUAAGCAGCAAAUUUCAUAUGUCUUUUGCUCUACCUUAAAGUUACGAGAGUUUUACUUUCUAUUCCAGAACAUAAUCCAUUGGCUAAAAAAUAAAGACUUAAAAUUACCAAUGGUACA